rnacentral:rRNA from 1 species
UGGGGAAUAUUGGACAAUGGGGGCAACCCUGAUCCAGCAAUGCCGCGUGUGUGAAGAAGGUUUUCGGAUUGUAAAGCACUUUCGACGGGGACGAUGAUGACGGUACCCGUAGAAGAAGCCCCGGCUAACUUCGUGCCAGCAGCCGCGGUAAUACGAAGGGGGCUAGCGUUGCUCGGAAUGACUGGGCGUAAAGGGCGUGUAGGCGGUUUGUACAGUCAGAUGUGAAAUCCCCGGGCUUAACCUGGGAGCUGCAUUUGAUACGUGCAGACUAGAGUGUGAGAGAGGGUUGUGGAAUUCCCAGUGUAGAGGUGAAAUUCGUAGAUAUUGGGAAGAACACCGGUGGCGAAGGCGGCAACCUGGCUCAUAACUGACGCUGAGGCGCGAAAGCGUGGGGAGCAAACAGGAUUAGAUACCUUGGUAGUCCACGC